AGAAGUCUCCUAAGACCAGAUUCACGCAUACUCCGUUUGCAGUGCGUAUACUGUGCGGGGUUUUUUUUUUCCGUGCACGUGUUAACAGAUGGCGGCCCGAGUGAGCGGCUAUGUGAGAGUUUGACUUGCUGGCACGGUGUGUGUAACACGGUGUGUGUGUGUGUUACACCGGUCUAAGCGCUGUGUGGAGUCGGAGGCGGUCCUUUGUGGGUGGAGCACAGAAGAACUGUGCGGUUUUUUUCCGCGAAUUUUUUCCGCGGAAGAUCACAUAAGUGCCGUCUCUUUUCUCUGGUGCUCAGUUCCCUGCUGAACGACUGGUGAACUGUCGGACCUGGAAAGUGACAACGACGCUGGAAGCAAAAUACUUCGACACUGCCGAAGAAAGCACCCGUCGGGAUUCUACUAGAGAGGUGCCUUGAUUUACUUCAAUCAUUUAGAGGAUACUAUUACAGCUUCGGUGAAUCUUCCACCAGAAUUUCCUCUCCAAAACAAUAGAGUGCUACAGUGGUAACAAAGUCUGAGAUUGAGGAACAAGACACAACAAUGGAGCAUUCACACCUCACUGAGGUGGAGAGUCAGGAGGCCCUGAUACAAGCACUGGCAAAUCUCCAACAGAUGCUCCAGAGCAUAAUGCAGCAACUGGAAUCAAAUCGCCAAAAAAAAGCCGUCUUGCAGAGGUCGGAGCAACAUCGCCAGAGGUUUCACUCCUUGACCCUCAGUGAGUUCGACAAUCUUUUUGCAUUUGCACAGCAGCUCCAAGACAGUUGUGAAAAGUGGUUGCUUGCUAAGGAUUGUGACCCUCAAAGGAUUGUGGAGCUUCUGGUAAUAGAGCAAUUUGUGAAACAGCUUCCAGAAGGGACAUCCAACUGGGUUAAACAUCACCAAGCAGCAACAAUAAAUGAGGCCAUCCAAUUGGCAGUGACCCACCUGCCACCUUUUGCUGUCUUUCCCCCUUAACAUCUCCCCUGCCUGAUUCAUUGGAUAAGGUACAGAGUGUGAAGUUGAGGUGUGUCAUGGGAUCUUUCACAAAUAUCCACUGGAGCCGAUCAUGAUCACUUUCUGGGGACAAAAGAAUGUCCGGUCUGUGGUUAGUCCUCGCUUGAACAAUCCACUGUUUUUGGAUUUUGUCAAUAUGAUCAAUAAACAAUCUUUUUCAAUGGUCAGUAAUCUGUAUUUGGUU